CGAAGGGUGCAAGCGUUAAUCGGAAUUACUGGGCGUAAAGCGUGCGUAGAUGGCUAAUUAAGUCGGAUGUGAAAGCCCCGGGCUCAACCUGGGAAUGGCAUCCGAUACUGGUUGGCUAGAGUGCGGUAGAGGAGAGCGGAAUUCCCGGUGUAGCGGUGAAAUGCGUAGAGAUCGGGAGGAACAUCCGUGGCGAAGGCGGCUCUCUGGACCAGCACUGACGUUGAGGCACGAAAGCGUGGGGAGCAAACAGGAUUAGAUACCCUGGUAGUCCACGCCCUAAACGAUGUCGACUGGAUGUUGGGCACACUUUGGUGCUCAGUAUCGAAGCUAACGCGUUAAGUCGACCGCCUGGGGAGUAUGCGCGCAAGCGUG
rnacentral:rRNA from 1 species